rnacentral:rRNA from 2 species
GGUUGGGUCCGUAUACCAUGACAGUCGUACGGUGAAGCCCAGCUUGCUGGGUGGAUCAGUGGCGAACGGGUGAGUAACACGUGAGCAAUCUGCCCCUGACUCUGGGAUAAGCGCUGGAAACGGCGUCUAAUACUGGAUACGAACCGUGGAGGCAUCUUCAACGGUUGGAAAGAUUUUUUGGUCAGGGAUGAGCUCGCGGCCUAUCAGCUUGUUGGUGAGGUAAUGGCUCACCAAGGCGUCGACGGGUAGCCGGCCUGAGAGGGUGACCGGCCACACUGGGACUGAGACACGGCCCAGACUCCUACGGGAGGCAGCAGUGGGGAAUAUUGCACAAUGGGCGAAAGCCUGAUGCAGCAACGCCGCGUGAGGGAUGACGGCCUUCGGGUUGUAAACCUCUUUUAGCAGGGAAGAAGCGAAAGUGACGGUACCUGCAGAAAAAGCGCCGGCUAACUACGUGCCAGCAGCCGCGGUAAUACGUAGGGCGCAAGCGUUAUCCGGAAUUAUUGGGCGUAAAGAGCUCGUAGGCGGUUUGUCGCGUCUGCUGUGAAAUCCCGAGGCUCAACUUCGGGUCUGCAGUGGGUACGGGCAGACUAGAGUGCGGUAGGGGAGAUUGGAAUUCCUGGUGUAGCGGUGGAAUGCGCAGAUAUCAGGAGGAACACCGAUGGCGAAGGCAGAUCUCUGGGCCGUAACUGACGCUGAGGAGCGAAAGGGUGGGGAGCAAACAGGCUUAGAUACCCUGGUAGUCCACCCCGUAAACGUUGGGAACUAGUUGUGGGGUCCAUUCCACGGAUUCCGUGACGCAGCUAACGCAUUAAGUUCCCCGCCUGGGGAGUACGGCCGCAAGGCUAAAACUCAAAGGAAUUGACGGGGACCCGCACAAGCGGCGGAGCAUGCGGAUUAAUUCGAUGCAACGCGAAGAACCUUACCAAGGCUUGACAUAUACGAGAACGCUGCAGAAAUGUAGAACUCUUUGGACACUCGUAAACAGGUGGUGCAUGGUUGUCGUCAGCUCGUGUCGUGAGAUGUUGGGUUAAGUCCCGCAACGAGCGCAACCCUCGUUCUAUGUUGCCAGCACGUAAUGGUGGGAACUCAUGGGAUACUGCCGGGGUCAACUCGGAGGAAGGUGGGGAUGACGUCAAAUCAUCAUGCCCCUUAUGUCUUGGGCUUCACGCAUGCUACAAUGGCCGGUACAAAGGGCUGCAAUACCGUGAGGUGGAGCGAAUCCCAAAAAGCCGGUCCCAGUUCGGAUUGAGGUCUGCAACUCGACCUCAUGAAGUCGGAGUCGCUAGUAAUCGCAGAUCAGCAACGCUGCGGUGAAUACGUUCCCGGGUCUUGUACACGCCGCCCGUCAAGUCAUGAAAGUCGGUAACACCUGAAGCCGGUGGCCCAACCCUUGUGGAGGGAGCCGUCGAAGGUGGGAUCGGUAAUUAGGACUAAGUCG